rnacentral:lncRNA from 1 species
CACAUGAGACCAAUCAAGGAUCCACCUGUUGCAUUCCACAGCAGCAGAUAAUCAAUGUUUGCAUUUUGUUCCUGAGGCCUCUCAGCUUCUCAGGAGGAAAAAUCCUAAGGAAAGGAUUUUCCAUAAAAUAUCAUGGCUACAGAGGAGCUCUUUCUAGAGCAAGCCAGAAAGCUUUCCCAAAUGCCUGCACAUGUAAUUCUAUUUUUGGGCAUAUGAGCCUCACAAUAUCCUGUUAAUAUGUUUAAUCUUUCAGGUGUUUUACACCUUCCAUGGCUCUUUGUUUAGAAACGUGCUUGAGUCUGAAAAUACACAACUGGAAAGUGAAACUCUCUGAUGCUGAGGUGCUUCUGGGUGGUGAUGCUCACCAUCAUUUUCCAUGCUGCCUUGUACCUCUGCCCAGUAAGUGGGAGAAAAGCUGGAAAAGAUAUCUUAAAGAUUUGUUCCUGACUAAUGUUUCCCAGCUGAGCUUGUGGAAAAGACCCAAACCACCCCAAACCACCUGGGGAAAAUGUAAAUGUUAAACUCGAGCUGUGAGUAUGCCUUUAUUUCUGUACCUUUAGGGGUUUAUGCCUGGGUUUGUGCUGGCACAGAAUGUUACAGGUGCAGAUUGGUUCUGUGACUGCAGUGUGCAUACACUGAGAGCAGGCUGCUCUUACCUUACUUGGCAAAUAAUAAUACUCUGAGCACU